UAAAUUCUAGCUUUUUUUUCCUUGCCUUUUGGGAACAGAAUUUCUGCUAGGGUAGCUUUGAACACCCAGGCCUCCUGCUUUAGCCUACUGAGUGCUCAGAUUAUGGGUGAACGCCACCACACCGUAGUCCAUGCUGGUUAUAUAGACCAGAGGUGCUGAACUUCCAGCUAGGAGGUAGCUCAGACAGUGCUUCUGAUGUAGGACCUGAAUCAGAGUCAACUCAAUUUUGAAAGACUCAUAUUUCAGGAUGGAGUUUUCUUCUGUAAGAAUUAAUUUUGAUUGGUGGGGAGCAGGAUGGUGGAAAGAAGUUGGAAAUGACAUAGAGCAUUUUGCCUUAGCAUGUAGACAUGAGACUGAAACAUACCCAUUAGGGAGGAACACGUCAGAACUGACAUCGAGGUAAUGGUUUGGGAGUACAGAGUCUGGUCUCGUUUGACUCUAAUCUACAUGCUUGCAUGACUGAAACUGAAACUAUACAAAAUUAGAAAAGAAAAAGCUUUACUUUCAUUCCCUGUAGACGGGGCAGAAUUAGCCAUUCACACCAAUGGUUGCCAUGGGUAGAUGGAGACCAUUCUCUAUAAGAGAACCAAGGAAUUUAAAGAAAGUGGGUGCUAUUUAGGUUGAAGUACAAGUCCACAGCCUGUUCCAGUCUGGUCCUGCAACGAGGGAGCCAAGAAGAUCACUUCUCUCUUCCUGGUACGUGUGAUAGAUUUUAACUACAUUAUGACUUUGAAUAACAAAUAAAUAUCUAACAAUAUCCCCAGAAACUUGUUUUGAAUAUUUGAAAAUUCCAGAAUCAGCACAUUAAAAACGAGUACCUACUUGUCUGGGGUAUGCAAUGUGCCGGGUCAGAGAAGAAACAAAAUAGUUUUAAGCUGUCUUCAACUUAUUUGUGAACUAAAAGGAGAAGCCCCAUCCUUAUGAUCAUGCUUGUUUUUCUUCCUAUGUCCCGGAAUGUUUGUCUCUAACCAAAUACGACUGACUAGGUUUGUCCAGAGGCCAUCAAAGGGUUAGAGGUAAGAAGGAAGUGUGGAAAGUUGACAAGGAAUCACCAAAAGAAGACCCAAAAGAGAAAGUCCCAUUAAGCUUGAUGACAAACACAGUCUAAAGCCAUAUCCAUGAGUGCCAGGUUUUUCAAACUGAAGUAACCAACGACAUCAAAACUGUGGACAAAGCUUCUUUGUGAAGAGGUGAAGAAGAUUUGGUGUUCGUUAAGAAGCAAACGAGCAGGGGUUGGGGAUUUAGCUCAGUGGUAGAGCACUUGCCUAGCAAGCUCAAGGCCCUGGGUUUGGUCCCCAGCUCCGAAAAAAAGAAAAAAAAAAAAGAAAAAAAGAAAAAAAGAAGAAGCAAAUGAGCUAACCUGUUCUCUGUGCUCCAAAAGGACAACACAGCUCUAUUUUGGCGAGUUAGAUCUAGUUUCCUUUGAAGAGCUCUGGGUGAGCAUUUGCUGCAUACCACGUGACUGGACGCUAUUGACUUAGUGGGAUACCUUGAGAUGAAAAAUCACAACAGAAAUGCUUCUUGAUUAAUGAAAUAUUCUCAUUCAAAUCCAAGAUCUCGGUUAUCUCAGUCUUGGCUAGAGAAGCAGUCAACACAGAGGCUCAUAACUGGGCUAUGUGCCGUGGAACAGCUUCUUGUUCAGACACUUUCUAAGGGCAAAAAAGGGCAAGUAGAAAACGACGGUGGAAAAAGCAUUUGGAGCAGGUUAGUCAUAGAGGAGAAAGUGUAAGUACAGUACUAUUUGCUAAGACCACAAUAGGAAGUGUGAUUGUGGUGUCCAUGCGUCCUUGUAUUGUAGAAGGAGAGGGCAGUGUUAAGUGACUGAAGCCUUCCUUUGAUACUUGUUGAUCCUUUCUAUAAGGAGGGAUGCCUCUUACACAGGCAGGGCUUAGCAGGUCGCCUGUCAGGACAAGCCCAGAGGUGGCAUUACUUGCUGUUUGCUGAUCAAUGAGUCUUUGGAGCUCUAAGAACUCAGGCUCAAGGAGUGACUCUGGGAAGAUGAGUUGUGUGGCUCUGCCCUGGAUUCCACAGUCUAGCACAGGACGGUGAUUUAGUGCCUCGUGACUCAAAAUCCCCAAAGCUUGCUUACUUUUCCUCAGCCUGCAGUGCCCAGAAUGGAGCUGUUGGCAAAUCGCAGUCCACACCCCCACUUUUCAAUCUUUUCGCUAAUUUCUUACUACUUCACUUGAGAGAGUCCCAGAAGAACGGUGUGAUGAUUCAUCAGCCCUACUUCCUCAUUUCUGCUGACAGAGAGCUAACUUUGUCUCCAUUUCCAUGGUCGUCCCAAAAGAGCAAAAACAAAACAACUUUAAAAAAAUUUUAAUUUGCUACGUUUGGUGCGAAGUGACUUCCUGUGAGCUGGAGAGGCCAAAGGCUGGAGAGACCCCACUGUAGCCCAUUCUAUGACUGAGAGAUCCGAGACCCCAAGAGCCUACAAGAUUUCCUGUUUCUACACAACCGCUCAGUAGCAUACAGAUUUGGGCAGGGAUCUGCUAGUUUUAGGCUGUGAUUUUCUGUAACUUUGUGGAUGAUAAAUAGAUCGAAGCUUAUCUGUGCUAUGUCACAAGGAAACACAUAACCAUAAAACUUUCUGGUGAGAGCA
rnacentral:sRNA from 1 species